AUGUUCAAACCAAUCCAGAACCUUCUCUCCUUCUCCUCCCAAUUCGACUCCAACGCCACAUAAAUGAAGUUCUUCCAAGAAUUAGCUUCAUGUUAUCGCCCACCUACAUCAGCCUCGCCGUCACAUGAAGAUGAGUAUGAGGCUCUUCACGCGGUGACUCCUCUCCCCUCCGGUCGCCGCCAUGCGAAACGCUCGAACAAGUCGGGAUUUUGUGGCUCCGCCUCUUCUGCAGCUCGACAUUGGAGACCGGUUCUCCAGGUUAUCCGGGAAGACGGCGUCGUAUUGGGUUCGGAAUCUAGGAAUAAGAUUGAUGAAAAAAGGAGUCACGGUGAAAACAAGUUCAAGUCUCACAGGGUUAGCCGUAAUGAGAAUUCCUUCUAUUCUAGGAAUGAUUAUAAUAGUGAGACGAUGAGUAUACCAGCGUUCUCUCCCACACCCUUUUGAUCAGCUUAUGCUUCUCCUUUUUGGGAUCAAAUUUAAUACGAGGGAUCUUUGCCGAUGGUUUAAACCCCACGAGGGCCAGAACCAAGCAACCACCUCCAUCUCGACGAGUGACAUGGCAAACAUACCUCUGGCUCCACUCACAAAAUAUUCCAUCACCGGUUCACUAACCCUACAUCUAUCUGAUUAACUCCUUAAUCCAUAAUUAUUAAAUUAAUUCACUCGUAAUAUAAUGAUAAACAUAUUGAAUUGCAUUACCGAUUCAUGCACAUUUUUUAUUGAUUGUAAUACUAUUCUAAGCCUUCGUCCUAUCUAAUUUGGAUCGAUUCGGGUCGCACAUCUGAUUUUAGUGAGUGAAUCUUCCGGUGGAGAUUUUUUUACAUAUACAAUGACUCGAACCUGAAACAUUGCUUAAAUGAUAUCAAACUGCUUACACCUUGAAUCAUCCUAUUAAUAUAAACAUAUGAUUUUAAAUCAAGAGUAUUCCAGUUUGUAAUACCAUCCAUAUUCAUAACUAAACCCCAAACCACGCCACAUACAGCAACCUAAACCAAUUUUCAAACUCUACUAACCCAAAACUAAAAAGCUAAACCCUAAAAUCUAGAGCUUUGAGCUAGAGUUCUAAAAUAUUGAGCUUUGGGCACAAAUUUGGAAACAUUGCAAAGGCUCAUAUUUCAUUGUCUUCUAAAUGGCCUUCACGUGCAAUCGUCACUAAUUCACUAACCCUAUUUUUCCCCAUGGAUCCCCAAAUGGCAAAAUCCAACCCAACCUCCCACCAAACUCGGUAACUCACCUCCCAUUGUAUUAAACUCACAAUGAAACAAGGACCAUAUCAAAAAUCCUAUCUUCUCACACAACCGAACAAAAACAGGGACAGACCCUGCUUUCAGAUUUGCAGCUUCUUGUUCUUUGCAUGGUAAAAAAACAAUAAAAAUUAUGUGUUAUGUGGGGAAAGCAACAAAGAUCUUCAUCUUCGUAGUUACGGUGUUAGUGGUUUCGGGUCUUGUAUUGGGAUUCGGGCUGCUUCGUCACGGCCACCGUAAGUCGCUUUCGAAAAAGUGCGACGGCGACUCUUGCGGCCCUCCACCCAAUGUCUUCCCUAACGCAGCACCUUUUUCUUCCUCUUCCUCUUAUAGCCCGCCUUCGCCGGCCGUUGGCUCUAACCAGCCUAGCCCUUACCCACCACCCAGCCCACCAGCCGUUGAGGAGGCUACUCCUACACCUCCACCGCCUGUCACUGACCCAAAUCCUCCUCUGACGCAACUUCCUCCUCCUGCUGCUGCUCCUCCACCUCCUGUUUCGAGUACGGUGUUGCCGGUGCCACCCUACAAUCAGCCGACUCCGAUACUGGUGGCUCCUGGUCCUGUCGGACAAUAACAACUUUACAGAAACGACUUGAAAUGUGAUCCGAUCUCUGAGCGCAUGAGGUUAGCAACAACCCCACGGUACAUGUUCCUGUGCAUGCUUAGCACAGCUGGUUACUUUCCAUUUUUUGUUUUAAAGAAAAGCAGAUUCAGAAAUUUAAUGAUGAGGUUUACAAUUUUAAUUUUUUCUUAAAAAUAAUAGAUGUGUAAAAAAAUUUAUUUUUUUUAUAUUUUUUUUAAUAUAUCAUACUAAAUUUCAUUGUUUUUCCCUAACUAAUUAAUGGAUGCUCUCCCCCUAGGGCUGAGUGCAUCCGCCCCCUAUUGUAUAGUGAUGGGAUGAUGAUUGAUGAGAUUUGGAUUGGAAUUUUCGCUUUUUUUUACUGAUAUUUAGAAUUUUUGUGUAAUUUUUUUUACAUAAUUGUGUGCUGUGCUGUGCUGUAACUGAAGAUAGGAUUAUACUGAACUGAAUUGUAGGUUAAAUGUUAUCUUCAAAUUGUGGGUCAAA